rnacentral:lncRNA from 1 species
UCUCCCGGAGGCGCAUGAUGUCCUCGGCCAGGUUGUCGCGCUCCACCUCGACGCGGGCUUUGUCGUUGGUUAGCUGGUCCACCUGCCGGCGCAGCUCCCGCAUCUCCUCCUCGUAGAGGUCCCCCAGGCGCGACUUGCCUUGGCCCUUGAGCUGCUCGAGCUCGGCCAGCAGGAUCUUAUUCUGCUGCUCCAGGAAGCGCACCUUGUCGAUGUAGUUGGCGAAGCGGUCAUUCAGCUCCUGCAGCUCCACCUUCUCGUUGGUGCGGGUGGACGUAGUCACGUAGCUCCGGCUGGAGCUCGGCCGGCUCGCGGUGCCCGGGCCGCCGAACAUCCUGCGGUAGGAGGACGAGGACACGGACCUGGUGGACAUGGCUGCGGAGGGUGGCGAUGGCCUGGGCGGCGGCGGUGGCGCGGACUGGCUCCCGGAGAAGAGGCGAACGAGGGCGCGGAGCUUGCAAUACCACCCAGGCUAGAAUACAGUGACUCCAUCA